UGGGGGAUAUUGGUCAAUGGGGGAAACCCUGAACCAGCAAUGCCGCGUGAGGGAAGAAGGUCUUCGGAUUGUAAACCUAAGUAGUCAGGGACGAAAGAAAUGACGGUACCUGAAGAGUAAGCUCCGGCUAACUACGUGCCAGCAGCCGCGGUAAUACGUAGGGAGCGAGCGUUGUCCGGAUUUACUGGGUGUAAAGGGUGCGUAGGCGGGUCGACAAGUCAGAUGUGAAAUACCGGGGCUUAACUCCGGAGCUGCAUUUGAAACUGUAGAUCUUGAGUGAAGUAGAGGCAGGCGGAAUUCCUAGUGUAGCGGUGAAAUGCGUAGAUAUUAGGAGGAACACCAGUGGCGAAGGCGGCCUGCUGGGCUUUAACUGACGCUGAGGCACGAAAGCAUGGGGAGCAAACAGG
rnacentral:rRNA from 1 species